rnacentral:rRNA from 1 species
AGUGAACGCUGGCGGUAGGCCUAACACAUGCAAGUCGAACGGCAGCACAGUAAGAGCUUGCUCUUACGGGUGGCGAGUGGCGGACGGGUGGGGAAUACAUCGGAAUCUACUUUUUCGUGGGGGAUAACGUAGGGAAACUUACGCUAAUACCGCAUACGGCCUACGGGUGAAAGCAGGGGAUCUUCGGACCUUGCGCGAUUGAAUGAGCCGAUGUCGGAUUAGCUAGUUGGCGGGGUAAAGGCCCACCAAGGCGACGAUCCGUAGCUGGUCUGAGAGGAUGAUCAGCCACACUGGAACUGAGACACGGUCCAGACUCCUACGGGAGGCAGCAGUGGGGAAUAUUGGACAAUGGGCGCAAGCCUGAUCCAGCCAUACCGCGUGGGUGAAGAAGGCCUUCGGGUUGUAAAGCCCUUUUGUUGGGAAAGAAAAGCAGCAGGUUAAUACCCCGCUGUUCUGACGGUACCCAAAGAAUAAGCACCGGCUAACUUCGUG